AUCCCUUAGAAAAAAUUAAGGGUGGUGCCUGCCCAGUGUAAGGGAAUAAAUGGCCGCGGUACUUUGACCGUGCUAAGGUAGCAUAAUCACUUGGCUCUUAACUGGGGUCUGGAAUGAAUGGCAUUACGGAAUUAAGCUGUCUCUAAUUUCAUAAGUGAAACUUACUAAAUAGGUGAAAAGGCCUAUAGGUGCUAAUAGACGAGAAGACCCUUAGAGUUUAAGUUAAUAUUUUGUUGGGGCGACAUUGGAUCAGAUAAACAUCCAUGGACUUAUAAGACGAUUUAGAUCUUAUUAGACAAACUACCUAAGGGAUAACAGCAUAAUUCUUUAGAGUUUGUGACCUCGAUGUUGGACUGGGAAGCACUAAGGCUAGCUGCUUUAGUUGGGGAUUCUGUUCGAAUUAUUACUCCC
rnacentral:rRNA from 1 species